rnacentral:tmRNA from 1 species
GGGGGUGAUUGGUUUCGACUCGGAGCGGUAGCUCCAGGAGAAGCGGGCCAAGGAUGCAGACUUAUCUUGUAAACGACGUCUGCGAACCAUAAGUGCCGAUGCAAAUCAGGCCGACUUCGCUCUCGCUGCCUAAACAGUGAUCGAAGGGUCAGCCCGGGUGUAGCUUUCCGCCCGGUAGCUGGCCUCAUUUAGAAAGCUCGCUCGUAUGUUUGCGUCUCAAGGACAUACGGGGACUUAAUUGAGACUGGGCUCGUCCGCGACUGGCCGUCGUGAGCGCGGGAGCCAAGCAGAACGUUUAGACGGAUGCGCCCGGAGAAGACCUGGAACG